GCUGCCAGUAAAGGCUAUGGAGCCUUAAUAAAAAUGCUCGUAGCCAAUGGGGCUUCCUUAACAGCGAUCGACUCACAAGGUUACACACCGCUGAUGAUGACCUCGCGACUUUCGAAUCCACUUGGACCAAUGAAAUUGCUCUUGGACAGCGGUAGUGACGUCAACGCCCUCAGUUAUUUCCAUGGUACCCUUAUACAUCGCCUUGUCUUGAGUAGGGACUCUGAAUCGCUUGGGUACGCGAUGAAAUUUUGUCCAAAUCUUCUUCUCAUGGAUAACAGGGG